rnacentral:misc_RNA from 1 species
UGGCAAGCCAGGCUCCCACAGGUUUGCGCCGUACUCAAUAUUGAUGAUCGGCACAAAACCUGUGGGAGCCUGGCUUGCCA